AUUGAACGCUGGCGGCAGGCCUAACACAUGCAAGUCGAGCGGAUGAGAAGAGCUUGCUCUUCGAUUCAGCGGCGGACGGGUGAGUAAUGCCUAGGAAUCUGCCUGGUAGUGGGGGACAACGUUUCGAAAGGAACGCUAAUACCGCAUACGUCCUACGGGAGAAAGCAGGGGACCUUCGGGCCUUGCGCUAUCAGAUGAGCCUAGGUCGGAUUAGCUAGUUGGUGGGGUAAAGGCCUACCAAGGCGACGAUCGGUAGCUGGUCUGAGAGGAUGAUCAGCCACACUGGGACUGAGACACGGCCCAGACUCCUACGGGAGGCAGCAGUGGGGAAUUUUGGACAAUGGGGGCAACCCUGAUCCAGCCAUGCCGCGUGAGUGAAGAAGGCCU
rnacentral:rRNA from 1 species